AUUGAACGCUGGCGGCAGGCCUAACACAUGCAAGUCGAACGAGUGGCGGACGGGUGAGUAAUGUCUGGGAACCUGCCCGCUGGAGGGGGAUAACUACUGGAAACGGUAGCUAAUACCGCAUCCCAUCGGAUGUGCCCCGAUGGGAUUAGCUAGUGGGUGGGGUAACGCCUCACCUAGGCGACGAUCCCUAGCUGGUCUGGGAGGAUGAACAGCAAAACUGGAACGGAGGCACGGGCCAUCCCCUUACGGGAGGCGGCAUUGGGAAAUAUUGCACAAUGGGCGCAAGCCUGAUGCAGCCAGGCCGCGUGUAUGACGCAGGCCUUCGGGUUGUAAAGUACUUUCAGCGAGGAGGCGUUACCCGCAGAAGAAGCACCGGCUAACUCCGUGCCAGCCGCCGCGGUAAUUC
rnacentral:rRNA from 1 species